AAGCAGAAGCCAUAGAAAACUGCUAAUUUUGUACCUACGGUCCUACGGAGUGUAUGCACUGCAGUGUUUCAUUCUUAACAAGUUCUUAUAUUUUAUAACUGCGUAAUUGUUAACCCAAGCUAAUAAAAAUUUUCGUAUAACCAUUACUGACGUAGAGCUCCUGCAAUAAUUGCAAAUUUGCUGAUACUUGCUAGUUGCUUCAUCAUGUCAUUGUCAGCUGUGUUAUUCCAAAAUUUACAUUUAAUUACGUUUUUAUGUAUUACGGGUAGCUUUAUUUGUUGAAAACCACAUUUUUUAAUGACUGCCGCACUGAUUAUAAGCUGUAGCUGUGAUUAUCUGUUCAGCUGUGACGAUGUCCACUACCGCCUCCGUUGUCAUCCCACAAAACAAGAUGCAUAAGAAAUUUAAGCCAAAUUUUUCUCAUCUUCCAACGAUUAUACUCUUAGGACUCCCUGGAAGCGGAAAGCGAAUGUUAGGUAACAGAUUAAGACAGCUAAAAGAUUAUUCGUAUAUCAGUGUCGGGCAAAUAUUACGCGAACACAAAAUAGAACAUCCAAGCAUUAUGGGAUAUGCCACCGCUCCAGAAUUAGCGCCAAAAGUAGGAUGUGGUAACGGAUAUUAUAAAACACGAAAUGACCGCCCGAGCUUCCAAAAAUCGCGAAUAUUUGUUGCAAGGCUUCCCAAUAAGUACUGACCAAUAUGUGUGGUUCGAGAAACAGUUGGGUGGAAGUGUUCACUUAGCCAUACUCCUGGACAUUCCUGUUCAGUGCGCCAUUGAACGAACUGCCCGGAGGAAAUUAUGUGGUUCGCGGUGGGAUGACAACUUUAAUGUGGCACUGGAGCGGAUAAAGAUUUUUGAGCGCUUAACUGAACCUUUGUUGGAGCAUUUAGAUACGACCGGCAAACUACUCAGAAUAUGUGGCAUGCGGGAUCCGCAAGACAUUUGUGACGAAGUCCUCCACAAAGUUAUCAAAAGCUUACAAACCUUUGCAAGGAAAUGACCGCUUACUCUGGAAUAAUAUUCCGUACAUAUGAAAUUGCCUUGCUAGACUGCUAAAAUUCAGUGACCUUCUACUCUAGGGGAACGGAUUUACUCAUUUUGUUGUGCUACAUGUUAUAGCGCUUUUAUCAUAAUUAUGAUCUAAUUAAUUAAGGCAGUGGAUUACAAAUGGCUACAGUAUGGCUGUUAGUACUGUACUAAUCAAUUUACAUAUAUAAAUAUUUAAAAACCAA